rnacentral:lncRNA from 1 species
GAUAUCACACUAUCUCACUGCCACAGGAGUAAAGGUUUGGUAGAAAACAAAAAAACGACUAAUGGAGCAUAAUUUAUAGCAAACUCAUUUAUCAAUAAUAAAAACCUUUACUGUCCACUUACCUCAGUGAGAUUCAUGAAAGACAACUUAUGAAAUACAAUAACAUCAUAAACAUCAUAAAAUCAUGCACACUUUGUAACAUACACAUAUCAAACUUUUGUUUUUCAAUCAUCAGAUAACAAUUUUCCUCUUUUAUCAGCCUAUUAGUAUUCAUGGGGAUCCAUAAGGGGUCCCCGCUACACGUGAACCAUUCACAUUAAUAACUUGAUUCUAGAGUCGUCCCCAUACCCCGUCCGGUAUGGAUGCUAAAACACAUAAGGUCUCCAUAUCUCGUCCGAUAUGAGAGACCACGUUCCCGGUAGGGUUCCCUACAGACCCGGUCCGUCCACCAUCUCCCAAGAUAUCUAGUUAGGCUGUCGACAUUAUCCAUAUAUCAAUUCACAUAACUUUUUCCAUUUUUCUUGGUCUCAAUUAUCCAAUUAAAUAUAAACAUGUAAACCAGUAAUGAACACCAAACAAAACAACACAACAUCGGGUUCACCAUAAUUCAAACCAUAAUAAAUGAAACUGGGAUUCAUGCAUACGAAACCAUAAAAUAAACACAUCAGGUACCAUACUGCAUUUAAAACUGUAAAAUAGAUCAAACAACAACUGACCGACAAAUACACCAGAUUCGGGCUCCAUUAGCAACCUUAAGCAAUUAUACACAUAUAUUAAUUCAUGAAAUACUGUUCUAUCAUUUAUUGAGCUUUAAUGCCGUGAUAGAAAAUAGGGUGAGAGAUCCUUACUUGUUUCGGGGUCUGAAAUCGGGUUCUCACUGCGCAUACGGGCUGUCCCUAAAUUCCCUGAAUUUUUUUCCCAGGAAACUGAAACACACUUCUGGUACCUGUACGUGUCCCCAAAAAAUCCCAAAUCAGACCCAGGGCCCUUUCGGCCAAUAUCAAAAUUCAGG